rnacentral:lncRNA from 1 species
CCCGUCCCCCCACCCCUGCUAGCCCAUCUCAGGGAUAUAAUCUAAGGAAUCUGGGGAGGGUAAGAGAACCUUCCCAACACCCACACCACAAGCCUAAGCAUGGCAAGGCGGCUUCUGGUACUCAAAGGAAGCUAUCAAAAUGAAGACUACUCCAGCAGGUGCUGGCCACCUUUCGAAUAUGGAGAUUCGUCAACAGCACAAAGCAGAGAGCAACAUAAACCGACACCUGCUUUGUGCAGAUGGAAGUUCAACUGUUCUAUCCAGCAUAACCACACCUGUCUCUAGUGAAUUCCUUCCCUGAUGGUGCUGUUCAAGGUGUCAAGUGAAAAUUUUCCAGGUAUUUG